rnacentral:rRNA from 1 species
GAUGAACGCUGGCGGCGUGCCUAACACAUGCAAGUCGAGCGAAGCGCCUUACUUGAUUUCUUCGGGAUGAAAGUAUUGUGACUGAGCGGCGACGGGUGAAGGUACGCGUAGUAGUAACCUGCCUCAUACAGGGGGAUAACAGUUAGAAAUGACUGCUAAUACCGCAUAAGACCACAGCACCGCAUGGUGCAGGGGUAAAAACUCCGGUGGUAUGAGAUGGAUCCGCGUCUGAUUAGCUAGUUGGUAAGGUAACGGCUUACCAAGGCAACGAUCAGUAGCCGACCUGAGAGGGUGACCGGCCACAUUGGGACUGAGACACGGCCCAA